CACAUGCAAGUCGAACGAGGUCCAUGCAGUGGCAACACUGCGGAAGACCUAGGUGGCGAACGGGUGAGUAACACGUGAGGAACCUGCCCCGAGACCGGAUAACCCUCCGAAAGGAGAGCUAAUACCGGAUACCCCCACCUGGUCGCAUGGCCGGGGUGAGGGAAAUGGAUUCCGCUUCGGGAGGGCCUCGCGGCCUAUCAGCUAGUUGGUGAGGUAACGGCUCACCAAGGCAUCGACGGGUAGCUGGUCUGAGAGGACGAUCAGCCACACUGGGACUGAGACACGGCCCAGACUCCUACGGGAGGCAGCAGUGGGGAAUCUUGCGCAAUGGGCGAAAGCCUGACGCAGCAACGCCGCGUGGGGGAUGAAGGCUCUCGGGUUGUAAACCCCUUUCAGCAGGGACGAAAUUGACGGUACCUGCAGAAGAAGCCCCGGCUAACUACGUGCCAGCAGCCGCGGUAACACGUAGGGGGCAAGCGUUGUCCGGAUUUAUUGGGCGUAAAGCGCGUGUAGGCGGUCUCGUUAGUCGG
rnacentral:rRNA from 1 species